rnacentral:rRNA from 1 species
CCUGCKGAGGGAUCAUKGCAUGGRACGCGCCCCAGGCGCACCCAGAAACCCUUUGUGAACUUAUACCUUACUGUUGCCUCGGCGCAUGCCGGCCCCCCUGGGGGCCCCUCCUUCUGGAGGAGCAGGCACGCCGGCGGCCAACCUAACUCUUGUUUUUACACUGAAACUCUGAGAAUAAAACAUAAAUGAAUCAAAACUUUCAACAACGGAUCUCUUGGUUCUGGCAUCGAUGAAGAACGCAGCGAAAUGCGAUAAGUAAUGUGAAUUGCAGAAUUCAGUGAAUCAUCGAAUCUUUGAACGCACAUUGCGCCCUCUGGUAUUCCGGAGGGCAUGCCUGUUCGAGCGUCAUUUCAACCCUCAAGCCUGGCUUGGUGAUGGGGCACUGCCUGUAAAAAGGCAGGCCCUGAAAUUCAGUGGCGAGCUCGCCAGGACCCCGAGCGCAGUAGUUAAACCCUCGCUUUGGAAGGCCCUGGCGGUGCCCUGCCGUUAAACCCCCAACUUCUGAAAAUUUGACCUCGGAUCAGGUAGGAAURCCCGMUSMACUUAAGCAUAUCAAUAAGUGGGAGGAA